rnacentral:lncRNA from 1 species
GGCCAGAUUUUCUUUUCAACAGAGAACUUCCAUUCGAUGAACCAAUUUUCCCAGAAGCCAGCUUGAUCCGAGUGUUACUGCUCAGAAGGGAAGCGAACUAGAUAAUGUGGCAAUCCAGCAACUGAAUGCUCUGCGCGGCUCACUUCAGGUACACGGAAGCAGUUUAGUUCUGUAGCAAACACCAAAUAUGAAUCAGCAGCUGUAGACCAGUCCUGAAGAAACCAGCUCGACAACCAUCCCCAGGGUGCCGAAGCUACAAGAAGCCACAGGAACCUAGAGUGCAGUUCUUUUGGGUGUACAAAUUUAACUAUUAAUCUACAAAAGAAAAUGGUAUUGUGGGGGAGACACAAGAAACUGGGAGUGGAACACUAUGGCUGUGAUUUAUCUUCACUGUUGACUUGGCUGGAUCUCUAAUCACCGAGGAGAUUCAUGAGGCUCAGCUCAUGGGUGUGGCUGGAAGGCGUUUACAGAGAUGACUAAGAUGGCGGACACCCUGGCUACAGGGGGCAAUGUCUCAUGCAUGGGCUGGGGGAACAGACAAUAAAGAGGGAAAAGAGAAGGAGAGUCCAGUGCUACCAUUCCACUCUCUGUUUCCUGCUGAACCCUGUCACCCUUGGUAUCCCUGCUGGAACAGACUGAGUCCUCCAAAAUCGUGAGCCAAAACACAUUUUCCUUCUUUAACUUAUCUUGUCAUCUGCUACAAGGAGAGUAAAAGAAGCUAAAACAAUUGCUCAGCCACCAUCCCCUUGCAGUGGCUUAUGCUGAGAGGGAGCAAAAAGAUGUGACUUGUUUUCCGUGACAAAAGUGGAAGGAAGAAGAUGGGUUCCCUCCUGAGAAUAAUAUUAAUAGAGUAGUAACCAAAUGUUCUUUAAUUGACUAAUUGGAUACAUGAUUUGUUUUCCUUGUCGGCAGUCAGUUAUGCUUUGAAUAUGAACUGGAAAGGUCCCCUGUGGGUUCACCUGUUGAACACUGGUCCCCAGGUGUUGUCAUUGUUUGGGAAGGUUCUGGAACUUUUAGGAGAUGGAGCCUUAUGGAGGAAGUGAGUCAUCAGAGUGCGGAGCCUUGAGGUGUUUUAGCCCUGCUUUACUUCCUAUACACAGUCUCAUUCCUGAUUGGGAAACAGUGUAACCAGUUCAUCUCCUGAAUGGGAAACAGUGUAACCAGUCCACCUCCUGAAUGGGGAACAGUGUAACCAGUCCAUCUCCUGAAUGGGGAACAGUGUAACCAGUCCAUCUCCUGAAUGGGGAACAGUGUAACCAGUCCACCUCCUGAAUGGGGAACAGUGUAACCAGUUCAUCUCCUGAAUGGGGAACAGUGUAACCAAUCCAUCUCCUGUUCCCUCUGUCAACUCUUCUUUGUCAUGAUGGAUCUCAGGAGCUAAACCAGAAAAUUCUUCCUUCCCUUCCCUUCCCUUCCCUUCCCUUCCCUUCCCUUCCCUUCCCUUCCCUUC